GUCGGGUGUGGUGGCAUGUGCCUGUAAUCCAAGUCACCGGGAGGCUGAGGUUGGUGGAUCAAGUGAGCUGAGGAGCUCUGGGCUGCAGCACACUAUGUCGAACAGGUGUCCACGCUAAAUUCGGUAUCAAUAUGGUGUUCCUGGGGACCCCGGGACCACCAGGUUGUCUAAGGAGGGGUGAACCAGCCCAGGUCGGAAACGAAGCAGGUCAAAUCCCCCGUGCUGUCCAGUAGUGGGAUAAUACCUGUGAGUAGAUGCUGCAGUGCAGCCUUGGCAAAACAUAGAGACCUAACCUUUU
ensembl:misc_RNA Metazoa_SRP Metazoan signal recognition particle RNA